AGUGAACGCUGGCGGUAGGCCUAACACAUGCAAGUCGAACGGCAGCACAGUAAGAGCUUGCUCUUACGGGUGGCGAGUGGCGGACGGGUGAGGAAUACAUCGGAAUCUACUUUUUCGUGGGGGACAACGUAGGGAAACUUACGCUAAUACCGCAUACGAUCUACGGGUGAAAGCAGGGGAUCUUCGCACCUUGCGUGAUUGAAUGAGCCGAUGUCGGAUUAGCUAGUUGGCGGGGUAAAGGCCCACCAAGGCGACGAUCCGUAGCUGGUCUGAGAGGAUGAUCAGCCACACUGGAACUGAGACACGGUCCAGACUCCUACGGGAGGCAGCAGUGGGGAAUAUUGGGCAAUGGGCGCAAGCCUGAUCCAGCCAUGCCGCGUGAGUGAUGAAGGCCUUCGGAUUGUAAAGCCCUUUUGUUGGGGAAGAAAAGCAGCGGGUUAAUACGCCGAUGUUCUGACGGUACCCAAAGAGUAAGCACCGGCUAACUUCGUG
rnacentral:rRNA from 1 species